AUUGAACGCUGGCGGCAUGCUUUACACAUGCAAGUCGAACGGCAGCGCGGGCUUCGGCCUGGCGGCGAGUGGCGAACGGGUGAGUAAUACAUCGGAACGUGCCCAGUAGUGGGGGAUAGCUCGGCGAAAGCCGGAUUAAUACCGCAUACGACCUGAGGGUGAAAGCGGGGGAUCUUCGGACCUCGCGCUAUUUGAGCGGCCGAUGGCAGAUUAGCUAGUUGGUGGGGUAAAGGCCUACCAAGGCGACGAUCUGUAGCUGGUCUGAGAGGACGACCAGCCACACUGGGACUGAGACACGGCCCAGACUCCUACGGGAGGCAGCAGUGGGGAAUUUUGGACAAUGGGCGAAAGCCUGAUCCAGCAAUGCCGCGUGUGUGAUGAAGGCCUUCGGGUUGUAAAGCACUUUUGGCGGGAACGAAAAGGACUGUGCCAAUACCACGGUUCGAUGACGGUACCCGCAGAAUAAGCACCGGAUAACUACGUG
rnacentral:rRNA from 1 species